AGAGUUUCUUCCUGGCUCAGGAUGAACGCUGGCGGCAUGCCUAACACAUGCAAGUCGAACGGGGUUUAUAUGACGGAACUCUCCGGAGGGAAGAUAUAUAAACCUAGUGGCGGACGGGUGAGUAACGCGUGGGCAACCUGCCCUGUACCGGGGGACAACAGCCAGAAAUGGCUGCUAAUACCGCAUAAGCCUGCUGUGCCGCAUGGCACAGCAGGGAAAACCACGGUGGUACAGGAUGGGCCCGCGUCUGAUUAGUUAGUUGGCAGGGUAACGGCCUACCAAGACAACGAUCAGUAGCCGGCUUGAGGGAGUGGACGGCCACAUUGGGUCUGAGACACGGCCCAGACUCCUGCGGGAGGCAGCAGUGGGGAAUAUUGCACAAUGGGGGGAACCCUGAUGCAGCAAUGCCGCGUGGGUGAAGAAGCACUCCGGUGCGUAAAGCCCUGUCAGCAGGGAAGAAAAUGACAGUACCUGACCAAGAAGCCCCGGCUAACUACGUGCCAGCAGCCGCGGUAAUACGUAGGGGGCAAGCGUUAUCCGGAUUUACUGGGUGUAAAGGGAGCGCAGGCGGCGUGGCAAGUCAGAUGUGAAAACCCGGGGCCCAACCCCGGGAGUGCAUUUGAAACUGCCAUGCUGGAGUGCCGGAGAGGUAAGCGGAAUUCCUAGUGUAGCGGUGAAAUGCGUAGAUAUUAGGAGGAACACCAGUGGCGAAGGCGGCUUACUGGACUGUAACUGACGUUGAGGCUCGAAAGCGUGGGGAGCAAACAGGAUUAGAUACCCUGGUGGUCCACGCCGUAAAC
rnacentral:rRNA from 1 species